rnacentral:lncRNA from 1 species
GGAUUGUCUGAACUACAGGAAAGAGGAUCUGUAGUUAUGGAGCUGCUCCUAGGUUCUCCAUGGAGAAAGAACAUCUUUCUGGUGUGUCUGCAGGAUCAACACUCAUCCUUGUUCCCGGUGGGACUCCAUAGGCCACAAUUAAGAAAAACAGUCUGGCAGAGGUUAAACUGAAAUGGAGUUUGAGUCAGGUGAGGCUUACUAUUUUCUUUUUGAUGUUAACUGUAAAUAUACUAAUCUCUAAUUUA